rnacentral:rRNA from 1 species
AUUGAACGCUGGCGGCAGGCCUAACACAUGCAAGUCGAACGAGUGGCGGACGGGUGAGUAGUGUGUGGGACACUGCCUGCUGGAGGGGGAUAACUACUGAAAACGGUAGAUAAUACCGCAUACAAUAAGAUGUGCACAGCUGGUAUUAGCUUGUGGGUGGCGUAACGGCUCACCAAGGCGACGAUCCCUAGCUGGUCAGAGAGGAUGACCAGCCACACUGGAACUGAGACACGGUCCAGACUCCUACGGGAGGCAGCAGUGGGGAAUAUUGCACAAUGGGCGCAAGCCUGAUGCAGCCAUGCCGCGUGUAUGAAGAAGGCCUUCGGGUUGUAAAGUACUUUCGGCAGGGAAGCGUUACCCGCAGAAGAAGCACCGGCUAACUCCGUGCCAGCAGCCGCGGUAAUUC